rnacentral:rRNA from 1 species
AUCCUUGCAGACGUACUUCCCAGGCGGUCCGCUUCUCGGCUUCCCUACGGCACAGCGCAGGCUCGUAGCCUGCGCAACACCUAGCGGACAUCGUUUACAGCUAGGACUACCCGGGUAUCUAAUCCGGUUCGAGACCCUAGCUUUCGUCCCUCACUGUCGGAUCCGUUCUCCUGAGGCGCUUUCGCCACCGGCGGUCCGUCCAGGAUUACAGGAUUUCACUCCUACCCCAGACGUACCCCUCAGGUCUUCCGGUCCCAAGCUGAACAGUUUCCGCUGGACGCCUGCCCGUUAAGCGGACAGAUUUCCCAACGGACUUGUUCAGCCAGCUACGGACGCUUUAGGCCCAAUAAGAUCGGCCAUCACUCGGACUGCCGGUAUUACCGCGGCGGCUGGCACCGGUCUUGCCCAGUCCUUAUUCGUGCACCACUUACGGUGUACAAAAGUGAAGGCUCUAUGCCUUCACACUCGGAGCCCCCUUAUCGCACUUUCGUACAGUGUAAAGGUUUCGCGCCUGCUGCGCCCCGUAGGGCCCGGAAUCUUGUCUCAGAUUCCGUCUCCGGGCUCUUGCUCUUACAACCCGUACCGAUUAUGGGCACGGUGGGCCGUUACCCCACCGUCUACCUAAUCGACCGCAGCCGCAUCCUGUGGCGCCGGAGCGUUUCCGGCUUUGCCCUUCCAGGAGCAAAGCGUUAUCGGGGAUUAGCCUCAGUUUCCCGAGAGUAUUCCCGUCCACAGGGUAGCUUGGCCACGUGUUACUGAGCUUUCCGCUGCGGGUCUAAACCCGCACAACUAGCAUGGCUAAAUCGGACUCCGAUAGCAAUG